rnacentral:rRNA from 1 species
GACGAACGCUGGCGGCGUGCCUAAUACAUGCAAGUCGAACGCAGUGGGGACGGGUGAGUAACACGUGGGUAAUCUCCCAUCAGAGGGGAUAACACUUGGAAACUGGUGCUUAACCGAUACUUUUUUAUCGACCCUCGGUGCUUUAGCUAGUGGGUGAGGUAACGGCUCACCAAGGCCACGAUGCAUAGCCGGCCUGCGGGGGUGAUCGGCCACACUGGGACUGCGACACGGCCCAUGCUCCUGCGGGAGGCAGCAGUUGGGAAUCUUCGGCAAUGGACGAAAGUCUGACCGAGCAACGCCGCGUGAGUGAAGAAGGUUUUCGGAUCGUAAAACUCUGUUGUUAGAGAAGCGGUAACUAAAAAGAAAGCCACGGCUAACUACGUGCCAGCAGCCGCGGUAAAAG